ACAAUUAAAUUUCUAGUAAGAGGAAAAUCCGUCGACUUUAAAAAUCGUGAG
rnacentral:tRNA from 1 species